UACGGGGGGGGCAAGCGUUGUUCGGAAUUACUGGGCGUAAAGGGCUCGUAGGUGGCCAACUAAGUCAGACGUGAAAUCCCUCGGCUUAACCGGGGAACUGCGUCUGAUACUGGGAGUCUGGAGUGCGGCAGAGGAGACUGGAAUUCCUGGUGUAGCAGUGAAAUGCGUAGAUAUCAGGAGGAACACCGAUGGCGAAGGCAGGUCUCUGGGCUGACACUGACGCUCAUGCACGAAAGCGUGGGGAGCAAACAGG
rnacentral:rRNA from 1 species